rnacentral:rRNA from 1 species
GUAGUCAUAUGCUUGUCUCAAAGAUUAAGCCAUGCAUGUCUAAGUAUAAGCAAUUAUACCGCGAAACUGCGAAUGGCUCAUUAUAUAAGUUAUCGUUUAUUUGAUAGUACCUUACUACUUGGAUAACCGUGGUAAUUCUAGAGCUAAUACAUGCUAAAAAUCCCGACUUCGGAAGGGAUGUAUUUACUAGAUUAAAAGCCAAUGCCCUCUGGGCUCUCUGGUGAUUCAUGAUAACUUCUCGAAUCGCAUGGCCUUGCGCCGGCGAUGGUUCAUUCAAAUUUCUUCCCUAUCAACUUUCGAUGUUUGGGUAUUGGCCAAACAUGGUUGCAACGGGUAACGGAGGGUUAGGGCUCGACCCCGGAGAAGGAGCCUGAGAAACGGCUACUACAUCCAAGGAAGGCAGCAGGCGCGCAAAUUACCCAAUCCCGACACGGGGAGGUAGUGACAAUAAAUACUGAUACAGGGCUCUUUUGGGUCUUGUAAUUGGAAUGAGCACAAUUUAAAUCCCUUAACGAGGAACAAUUGGAGGGCAAGUCUGGUGCCAGCAGCC